rnacentral:rRNA from 1 species
UACGUAGGGGGCUAGCGUUGUCCGGAAUCAUUGGGCGUAAAGAGCGUGUAGGCGGCCCGGUAAGUCCGCUGUGAAAGUCGGGGGCUCAACCUUCGAAUGCCGGUGGAUACUGUCGGGCUAGAGUGCGGAAGAGGCGAGUGGAAUUCCUGGUGUAGCGGUGAAAUGCGCAGAUAUCAGGAGGAACACCGGUGGCGAGGGCGGGUCUCUGGGCCGAUACUGACGCUGAGGAGCGAAAGCGUGGGGAGCGAACAGG